UUUGGCUCUGUGAUGAAGCACUACGGAUGUAAAAUCAUUUCUGUCCGAGAUGCGCAUAACUCCCCGUGUGGAUACUUCCGUUGCCUUCCUUCUGAGGCCCAU
rnacentral:snoRNA from 19 species